rnacentral:rRNA from 1 species
UACGGAGGGUGCAAGCGUUAAUCGGAAUUACUGGGCGUAAAGCGCACGUAGGUGGUUUGCUAAGCCAGCUGUGAAAUCCCCGGGCUCAACCUGGGCACUGCAGUUGGAACUGGCAAGCUAGAGUAGGGUAGAGGGGUGUGGAAUUCCAGGUGUAGCGGUGAAAUGCGUAGAUACCUGGAGGAACAUCAGUGGCGAAGGCGACACCCUGGACUCAUACUGACACUGAGGUGCGAAAGCGUGGGGAGCAAACAGG